GACGAACGCUGGCGGCGUGCUUAACACAUGCAAGUCGAACGGAAAGGCCCUGCCUUUGUGGGGUGCUCGAGUGGCGAACGGGUGAGUAACACGUGAGUAACCUGUCCUUGACUUUGGGAUAACUUCAGGAAACUGGGGCUAAUACCGGAUAGGAGCUCCUGCUGCAUGGUGGGGGUUGGAAAGUUUCGGCGGUUGGGGAUGGACUCGCGGCUUAUCAGCUUGUUGGUGGGGUAGUGGCUUACCAAGGCUUUGACGGGUAGCCGGCCUGAGAGGGUGACCGGCCACAUUAGGACUGAGAUACGACCCAGACUCCUACGGGAGGCAGCGGUGGGGAAUGUUGCACAAUGGGCGGAAGCCUGAUGCAGCAACGCCGCGUGCGGGAUGACGGCCUUCGGGUUGUAAACCGCUUUCGCCUGUGACGAGGCGUGAGUGACGGUAAUGGGUAAAGAAGUACCGGCUAACUACGUG
rnacentral:rRNA from 1 species